AUGGCCAGCUCCUGCUGCAGCUCCUCCCCGAGCAACGCUGCUCUGGCCCAAGCUCCGCGCCUGCGGCGUCUUGUAUGGAAGCAGACGACGAAGGCCAGAUCCUCGUACACCCAUGGGGACGCCGCCUGUGACCCCCGCUCCCAAAUCGUCCGCCGCUCCGCCUCCCAAAUCGGCCGCUGCUUGCUAUUUGAGGCCUCCACUCCUCGUCUCCCCCGGCCACCUCCUCUUACCGGCCGGCGCCGCCCGCAUCCUCUUCGCCGCCGCCUGCCUCGUGGACGGCGCAGCCCGCCUCGUCGCCGGCGCACUUCCUCACGAGACCCGUGUCGAGGAGAGGGGAUGCAGUGGAGUGGCGUCUGUGGCUAA
rnacentral:rRNA from 1 species